rnacentral:rRNA from 1 species
UACGGGGGGGGCAAGCGUUGUUCGGAAUUACUGGGCGUAAAGCGCGUGUAGGCGGGCCGGAAAGUCGGGCGUGAAAUCCCUGGGCUCAACCCAGGAACUGCACUCGAAACUUCCGGUCUAGAGUGGUGGAGAGGGAAGUGGAAUUCCUGGUGUAGAGGUGAAAUUCGUAGAUAUCAGGAGGAACACCAGUGGCGAAGGCGGCUUCCUGGACACCAACUGACGCUGAGACGCGAAAGCGUGGGGAGCAAACAGG